ACUGAGGUCUAUCCCGACGGACCUUGAACUGUAGGGUCAUGUCGUUGGAAAUACCUCGGAGAGUAAAAUCUGUAGUUUCGCUUUACCCACAUGUUCAAUACCAUGAGCAUGGAGGGAUAUUACUACAGAACACGA